AUUGAACGCUGGCGGCAGGCUUAACACAUGCAAGUCGAGCGGUAACAGAGAGAAGCUUGCUUCUCUGCUGACGAGCGGCGGACGGGUGAGUAAUGCCUAGGAAUCUGCCUAGUAGUGGGGGAUAACUUGCCGAAAGGUAAGCUAAUACCGCAUACGUCCUACGGGAGAAAGGAGGGGACCUUCGGGCCUUUCGCUAUUAGAUGAGCCUAGGUCGGAUUAGUUAGUUGGUGAGGUAAUGGCUCACCAAGACCGCGGUCCGUAACUGGUCUGAGAGGAUGAUCAGUCACACUGGAACUGAGACACGGUCCAGACUCCUACGGGAGGCAGCAGUGGGGAAUAUUGGACAAUGGGGGGAACCCUGAUCCAGCCAUGCCGCGUGUGUGAGGAAGGUCUUAGGAUUGUAGAGCACUUUAAGUUGGGAGGAAGAGCAGUUAACUAAUAUUUGACUGUUUUGACGUUACCGACAGAAUAAGCACCGGCUAACUUCGUGCCAGCAGCCGCAGUAA
rnacentral:rRNA from 1 species